GGCACGAAGCGGUGGAGUAUGUGGUUUAAUUCGAUGCAACGCGAAGAACCUUACCUGGUCUUGACAUCCCGGAGACCCUUAGGAAACUAGGGGGUGCUUCCAUCUGGAAGAAUCUGGAGACAGGUGCUGCAUGGCUGCCGUCAGCUCGUGUCGUGAGAUGUUGGGUUAAGUCCCGCAACGAGCGCAACCCUUGCCUUUAGUUGCCAGCAGUUCGGCUGGGCACUCUAAAGGGACUGCCGGUGUUAAACCGGAGGAAGGUGGGGAUGACGUCAAGUCCUCAUGGCCUUUAUGACCAGGGCUACACACGUACUACAAUGGCCGAUACAAAGGGCAGCGACACUGCGAGGUGAAGCCAAUCCCGUAAAAUCGGUCUCAGUCCGGAUUGGAGUCUGCAACUCGACUCCAUGAAGUUGGAAUCGCUAGUAAUCGUGGAUCAGCAUGCCACGGUGAAUACGUUCCCGGGCCUU
rnacentral:rRNA from 1 species